rnacentral:tRNA from 1 species
ACCCCAUUAAUUUACCAUUAAUUUAAAAAGUACUUUUCUCCAAUUAUUUGCGGACUGUUAAUCCAUAUGUCGCUGGUUCGAGUCCAGCAGGGGGAGCCA